AAGUCGUAACAAGGUUUCCGUAGGUGAACCUGCGGAAGGAUCAUUAGUGAAUCUUGGUGGGGGGAUUGUUGAUACUUGGUAUAUAGAAUGGGGUAUUGUACUGUAUUGUACUUGUACUUGUAUUGUACUUGUAUUGUAUUCCUUGUAUAUGUCAAUCUCAUCCACCCAUCCAUAACAACAUUUGCCUUGGGCACUUUUGUCUAUUUAGUCUGACUGAUUGAUUUUAAUUAGUUUAAACAACUUUUAACAAUGGAUCUCUUGGCUCUC
rnacentral:misc_RNA from 1 species